UCCGUAGGCGGGCGUCUAAGUCAGUGGUGAAAUCUUACAGCUCAACUGUAAAAUUGCCAUUGAUACUGGAUGUCUUGGAUUAGUGUGAAGUGGUUAGAAUGUGUAGUGUAGCGGUGAAAUGCAUAGAUAUUACACAGAAUACCAAUUGCGAAGGCAGAUCACUAACACUAUAUUGACGCUGAGGGACGAAAGCGUGGGGAGCGAACAGGAUUAGAUACCCUGGUAGUCC
rnacentral:rRNA from 1 species